UCUUUCUUUCUUUCUCUCUCUCUCUCUCUCUCUCUCUCUCUCUCUCUCUCUCUCUCUCUCUCUCUCUCUCUCUCUCUCUCUCUCUCUCUCUCUCUCUCUCUCUCUCUCUCUCGGAGGACCUAAGCCCUAGGACCAUGCCUCAGGACUACCUGGCCUGAUGACUCCGUGCUGUCCCCAGUCCACCUGGCUGUGCUGCUGCUCCAGUUUCAACUGUUCUGCCUGCGGCUAUGGAACCCUGACCUGUUCACCAGAUGUGCUACCUGUCCCAGACCUGCUGUUUUCAACUCUCUAGAGACAGCAGGAGCAUUAGAGAUACUCUGAAUGUUUGGCUAUAAAAAGCCAACUGACAUUUACUCCUGAGGUGCUGACCUGUGGCACCCUCGACAACCACUGUGAUUUUUAUUAUUUACCCAUCUAUAUAUAGCUCAGGGUCCUGGAGAGCUGCUGUACUGGGUGAAUGACACCUGUCUCAAUCAAUGAGAUAAUUUUUAUUUUAUUUUAAUAAUAACUUAGCAUUUUCUAAAUUCAAAAGGACCCCUUGCAACCUGUCACAGACAUUUGAUGACACUUCCUUUUCGACAAAUCGAGGACAAAGACGCUAUCGCUAAGGCCCAUCCCUCCCCCAUGUCAUCGAUGGCCAGACGCCUCCUGAGGGUUUGACCACGGGGCAGGGGUUUCCAGUACCUGGUUGACUGUGAGGGUUAUGGCCCAGAGGAGAGGUGCUGGGUCCCUGCUAAAGACAGCCAGAUAUGCGCCCAGGAUGUCGGUGGGCGGAGCCGGGAGGGUCUUCAGAGAAAUGGGACACACCUGGGCUCGGGUGUGUCCCAGGAUAAAUGCACCUCUUCCCCAUUGGGGAGACUCUCUCCAUGCAGACACCUUUAUAGAUUUUGUUGUGGUAUUUUUGUGGCCUUUUGGUUGUUUGCUCAACACCCCGCAUUAUCACAUUUAUGCAUGCAAAACACUCACUUACACCACUGAUUACACACACCAUUGUUAAUUGUAUUUAGUUUACUUUAUUUAAGAAAUAUAUAUAUAUGUCUCCACAUUGUCUCCCUUUUGUUACGAACUUCGAGCCGGUUCGUGACACUUCUGGACUCUUUACCCACCUGCCUGACCAUUCUGCCUGCCUUAACCUCAAGCCUGUCUGCCAUGCUGCACCUCCUGGCCUCUGAAAUGGUUUUGACCUUUUGCGUGUCCACGACAAUUCUCUUG